rnacentral:rRNA from 1 species
GAUGAACGCUGGCGGCGUGCUUAACACAUGCAAGUCGAACGGAAAGGCCCUGCUUUUGUGGGGUGCUCGAGUGGCGAACGGGUGAGUAACACGUGAGUAACCUGCCCUUGACUUUGGGAUAACUUCAGGAAACUGGGGCUAAUACCGGAUAGGAGCUCCUGCUGCAUGGUGGGGGUUGGAGAGUUUGGGCGGUUGGGGAUGGUCUCGCGGCAUAUGCGCUUGUUGGUGGGGUAGGGGCUUACCAAGGCUUUGACGGGUAGCCGGCCUGAGAGGGUGAACGGCCACAUUGGGACUGAGAUACGGCCCAGACUCCUACGGGAGGCAGCAGUGGGGAAUAUUGCACAAUGGGCGGAAGCCUGAUGCAGCGACGCCGCGUGCGGGAUGACGUCCUUCGGGUUGUAAACCACUUUCGCCUGGGACGAAGCGUGAGUGACGGUAAUUGGUAAAGAAGCACCGGCUAACUACGUG